rnacentral:rRNA from 1 species
GUGUCGUCAGCUCGUGCCGUGAGGUGUCGGGUUAAGUCCCAUAACGAGCGCAACCCCUGCUGCCAGUUGCCAACGGGUGAAGCCGGGCACUCUGGCGGGACUGCCAUCGACAAGAUGGAGGAAGGUGGGGAUGACGUCAAGUCAUCAUGGCCCUUAUGUCCAGGGCGACACACGUGCUACAAUGGCCGGCACAGCGGGAAGCGAGGCAGUGAUGCCAAGCGGAUCCCUUAAAGCCGGUCUCAGUUCGGAUUGAAGUCUGCAACUCGACUUCAUGAAGCUGGAAUCGCUAGUAAUCGCAGAUCAGCCAAGCUGCGGUGAAUACGUUCCCGGGCCUU